CCGUCGAUAGCUCAGUUGGUAGAGCGGUGGACUGUAGAUCCAAAGGUCGCUGGUUCGAGUCCGCCUCGACGGC
rnacentral:tRNA from 1 species